rnacentral:lncRNA from 1 species
GGACCAGAUAGCUUGGGCGAUUGCUCCAUCACCUUCUAUCAAGGAUGCAUGUUGGGCUAUCAUCAGAUCAUCAGCACUAUGGUGAACAGACUAACUUAGGGUGUUCACUUAUCCCCCACUUUCGAGAUCGAGGCAUCUUUUGGCUCGGAUGAAGAAAGUAAAGAAAAUUUCUGCAUUCAUUGUGGCAUUGGCAAUCAGAAUGAACAUGUUGAGAUCUGAGGUAUUUCCUCUCCCAAAUCCCAGCUUUGCAACUUCAGUGAUGGUCUUUCGAAGUCUUAUACCCCU